UGGCGAGGGCGAGGGAAAUUAUAGUACUGAAGUUCCUGAUUCCACACUGCCAAGAAAAGCCUCUAGCGAGGGGCGGGAGGUGCCCGUACCGCAAACCGACACAGGUAGGCGAGGAGAGAAUCCUAAGGUGAUCGAGAGAACUCUCGUUAAGGGAACUCGGCAAAAUGACCCCGUAACUUCGGGAGAAGGGGUGCUCUUAUGGGGUGAAAGCCCAAGAGAGCCGCAGUGAAUAGGCCCAGGCGACUGUUUAGCAAAAACACAGGUCUCUGCAAAGCCGCAAGGCGAAGUAUAGGGGCUGACGCCUGCCCGGUGCUGGAAGGUUAAGAGGAGUGCUUAAGGCUUUUGGCCUGAAGGUACGAAUUGAAGCCCCAGUAAACGGCGGCCGUAACUAUAACGGUCCUAAGGUAGCGAAAUUCCUUGUCGGGUAAGUUCCGACCCGCACGAAAGGCGCAACGAUCUGGGCACUGUCUCAACGAGAGACUCGGUGAAAUUAUAGUACCUGUGAAGAUGCAGGUUACCCGCGACAGGACGGAAAGACCCCGUGGGAGCUUUACUGCAGCCUGAUAUUGAAUGUCGGUGCAGCUUGUACAGGAUAGGUAGGAGCCGUGGAAACAGGAGCGCCAGCUUCUGUGGAGGCAUCGGUGGGAUACUACCCUUGCUGUACUGACCUUCUAACCC
rnacentral:ncRNA from 1 species